rnacentral:rRNA from 1 species
UACGUAGGGUGCAAGCGUUGUCCGGAAUUAUUGGGCGUAAAGAGCUCGUAGGCGGUUUGUCGCGUCUGCUGUGAAAACUCGGGGCUUAACCCCGGGCCUGCAGUGGGUACGGGCAGACUAGAGUGCGGUAGGGGAGACUGGAAUUCCUGGUGUAGCGGUGAAAUGCGCAGAUAUCAGGAGGAACACCGGUGGCGAAGGCGGGUCUCUGGGCCGUAACUGACGCUGAGGAGCGAAAGCGUGGGGAGCGAACGGG